ensembl:rRNA 5S_rRNA 5S ribosomal RNA
GACCACAGCCAUAUCACCCUGCAGCUCAUGCCCGGUUACUCACUGAAGAUAAGCAGGGCUGAGCCUGGUCAGUUUCCGGAUAGGAGACCACAUGGGAAAAACUAGGUUGCUGUUGGAA